ACGACGUCUAAUACCGGAUACGAGCUGGGACCGCAUGGUCACCAGCUGGAAAGAACUUUGGUCAGGGAUGAGCUCGCGGCCUAUCAGCUUGUUGGUGAGGUAAUGGCUCACCAAGGCGACGACGGGUAGCCGGCCUGAGAGGGUGACCGGCCACACUGGGACUGAGACACGGCCCAGACUCCUACGGGAGGCAGCAGUGGGGAAUAUUGCACAAUGGGCGCAAGCCUGAUGCAGCAACGCCGCGUGAGGGACGAAGGCCUUCGGGUUGUAAACCUCUUUUAGCAGGGAAGAAGCGAAAGUGACGGUACCUGC
rnacentral:rRNA from 1 species